GCUGGGUGUGGUGGCGGGCACCUGUAAUCCCAGCUACUCAGGAGGCUGAGGCGGGAGAAUUGCUUGAACCCAGGAGGCGGAGGUUGCAGUGAGCCAAGAUAGCACCACUGCACUGCAGCCUGGGCAAAAGAGCAAGACUCCGUCUCAA
ensembl:misc_RNA Metazoa_SRP Metazoan signal recognition particle RNA